UACAGAGGUGGCAAGCGUUGUUCGGAAUUACUGGGCGUAAAGGGCGCGUAGGCGGCCUUCUAAGUCGGACGUGAAAGCCCCAGGCUUAACCUGGGAACUGCGUCCGAUACUGGGAGGCUUGGAUUCGGGAGAGGGAUGUGGAAUUCCAGGUGUAGCGGUGAAAUGCGUAGAUAUCUGGAGGAACACCGGUGGCGAAGGCGGCAUCCUGGACCGAGAUCGACGCUGAGGCGCGAAAGCUAGGGGAGCAAAUGGG
rnacentral:rRNA from 1 species